rnacentral:lncRNA from 1 species
GUCCACCCCGACUCCCCUGUCAUCAGGUCACCAACAUUCUUUUCUUUCUGACACUGGGCAGGCGUCAGCCCCCAUACAUGGUCUUACGAUUUUGUGGAGACCUGUGUUUUUGGUAAACAAUUACCUGGGCCUCGUCACUAGACCCCUUUUCUGAGGAAGCACCCCUUCUCCCGAAGUUAUGGGGCUAUUUUGCCGAGUUCCUUAGAGAGAGUUGUCUUGCAUCCCUAGGUAUUCCCUACCUACCCACUUAUGUCGAUUUCGGGUGCAGGUACCCUUCCCUUUUUUCACCUCCAUGUCG